CUUGACCGACCCCAGCCACAGCGGUCGCUCGGGAUCGCGGUCCCGGCCGUACGUCUCGAUCAGGGCCUGGGCCUC
rnacentral:antisense_RNA from 1 species